rnacentral:rRNA from 1 species
UACAGAGGUGGCAAGCGUUGUUCGGAUUUACUGGGCGUAAAGGGUGCGUAGGCGGCCCCGUGUGUCGGAUGUGAAAGCUCCUGGCUUAACCGGGAAACGGCAUUCGAAACUGCGGGGCUAGAGUACAGGAGAGGAGAGCGGAAUUCUCGGUGUAGCGGUGAAAUGCGUAGAGAUCGAGAGGAACGCCGGUGGCGAAGGCGGCUCUCUGGAAUGAUACUGACGCUGAGGCACGAAAGCUGGGGGAGCAAACAGG